AUGAGAAUGGGAUACCAGAUUACAACGAUGGAGGCUCGGACAUGGAUCUGCUCAUGCUCUCAGCGGGAAUACUGGAUGUUCUCGAAGCUUUGCCAUACACACGUGGAACCGUGUGCUAUAAUGCACCAAUGCUGCUUUCGGAUGACGACGACAAUGCCAAACGCACCAUCACCUGAGGUCUAUGCGAUUGGCGGGGAUGGAACCAUGAGAGGAGCAGUGGCGAUAUUCGAAGAGUUUAAACGGCAUGGUUGGAGGAUAUCCAUUACAUGGAUCCCAAAAACUGUGGACAUCGGCAUGAUAGACAGGUCGUUUGUGUUUCAAACUGCAGUGGAGAUUACUCAGCAUGCAAUCAAUGCGGAACAUGUGGAGGCUGUGAGCGCUGUGAAUGGCAUUGGUCUUGUCAAACUUACGGGAAGGAGCACAGGACACAUUACUCUUCAUGCCACCCUGAGCAGCCGAGAUGUUGACUGCUGUGAAUCUUGA
rnacentral:rRNA from 1 species